UGUCUGGGCUUGAUACUCCCAACCCAUGUGAACUUACCUCUUGUUGCCUCGGCAGGUCGU
rnacentral:rRNA from 1 species